CUCCUGGUCCAGAGUCGAUCUUCUCUCUUGGUUAAACUCCAGGGAACCUGGAGAAGAAAACAGAGAAAAAGAGUUAUUGUUAACUUUAUUGAAGGACUGGUAUCGGACCAGCAUGCACUGGGUUGGGCCUGUAGGUUUUGACCAGAGCAGCAGAGGAAACAAUGAAAAGUAGUGAUGAUGAGAUGAAGCUUCAUGAAGCCCUGAGGAACUCCAUCCAAUCACUGGACUCAUGAGCCGAUGCACCGCGGUGCUUCAUAUGCUCCACUGUGACAUCAAGUGGACMAUAUAUGUGAAAUAGGCAAAACAUGAAGCCUUACAAUAAAUAAACAAGUAAAAAAUG